AUGACGAGCCUCCUCCGGGAUCUCGGGGCGAACCCGACGGUGGUGGAACUGAACGAGGACCCUAGAGGGAAGGAGAUGGAGAAGGCGCUAGCGCGGCUCAUCGGCCGGAACCUGACGUGCCGGCGGUGUUCAUCGGCGGCAGGCUCGUCGGAUGCACCGACGAGGUCAUGUCCCUUCAUCUCGGCGGCAAGCUUGUCCCACUCCUUCGUAAUGCAGGUGUUGUCUGGGACUGCGUGCGAGGGCUUUGUAGAUAUUCGGCCUGAUGCAUUGGGCGCCAGAGAAGUAUGCGUACGUGCUCUGUUAUCCUUUUCUAUGAUGGAGACAAAGGAAACCAUGCAGAGGGCUUGCCAAGGCUCGCGUAGGUGGAGGUCGUCGUUUGGCGUCAUGAUGGCGUCAAUGGCGGAGGAGCAGCCAAGGUUGUCACCUCAAUCUGCUCUGAAGAUGGACCAGUGGAAAAUGGUGGCGACGACACAUGUUUACAUAAAGAGGGAGAAUGCCGGCAGCUGGAAUUCUGGUCUAGAUAAGGAGCAAAUAUUAGAGACCUAUUCUGCGCAACUCCAAAAGUCCUGA
rnacentral:rRNA from 1 species